GAAUGCGAUAAGUAAUGUGAAUUGCAGAAUUCAGUGAAUCAUCGAAUCUUUGAACGCACCUUGCGCUCCUUGGUAUUCCUUGGAGCAUGCCUGUUUGAGUAUCAUGAAAUCUUCAAAGUAAAUCUUUUGUUAACUCAAUUGGUUUCUACUUUGGUAUUGGAGGUCUUUGCAGCUUCACACCUGCUCCUCUUUGUUCAUUAGCUGGAUCUCAGUGUUAUGCUUGGUUCCACUCGGCGUGAUAAGUUAUCUAUCGCUGAGGACACUGUAAAAGGUGGCCAAGGUAAAUGCAGAUGAACCGCUUCUAAUAGUCCAUUGACUUGGACAAUACUUUUAUGAUCUGAUCUCAAAUCAGGUAGGACUACCCGCUGAACUUAAGC
rnacentral:misc_RNA from 1 species